rnacentral:lncRNA from 1 species
GGUUUUACGACCUGAUUACAGUGGUUACACAUCACCAAAUAGAAAUCAUCAUGAGCCGGGCAAAGACCAAAUAUUGGCAUAUCUUCUCGGCAGAGUCGCAUCGCUUCUCGAUUUUUCCCGUAUUCCUUGAAACUUUCUUCUAGUGCAGUUCCGUCGUUCCCGUGAAGUUUAGCAGCGUCGACCCAGUGGCUCCAGGGCUGCCCCAGCAUCGCCUCGGGGCUGGGCAGGGACCUGCGCUCCCCGACGGCCGCCAUUGCCGCUGCGGUGGCGGCGGGGCCGGCGCCGCUCCCGCCUCCUCCGCCUGCGCCUCCCUCGCCGUGCCGGGGCCGCCGCUGCCGCUGCCUGGCCGCCGCCGCUCUGCGCUGCUCCCUUCUGACGUCACCCGCGGCCCGCGCCGACAUUCUUUCCGCUGCUCUGCGGCGGCCCGGGGGGCAGGAGCCGAGUGCCCAUUAUGUAUGGGAGCGCUCCCUCCUCUUCACCGCCCAGCACGACCCGCGACCCUACAAAAACAACGGCCGCAUCACAACCCCGCCCGGCCUCCCUCCCGCUGCCGUCCCGGGCCGAGGGGCGGGCACGGGGCUGGGCCGGGCUCCCCCGCCCCGCCCCGCCGGGCCUCCUUAAAGCCCGCCGGCGAGCGGCGGGGCAGCGGCGAACGGCGAGCAGGAAACGCGCCCCCGCCCCGGGACCUGCGCUGUGCUGGGGGCGACCCCGCGCCGGGGCAGCGCUUCGGAGGCGGAGGGCCGCGGGUGGCGGUCAGCGGCUCCGGCACGGGACCGGGCAGCGGCUCCCGCGCGGCCGUUACGGGCGCUGCCGGCGCGGGCCGUUUGAACGCGAUUUCCCCUUCCUUGCCCCGGUUUGGUUUUCUGCGCUAACUUCCGCACCAAAGCGCUGAUGUUCCGG